UAUGCGUUUGGUUACACACUGAAAAUU
rnacentral:piRNA from 1 species